AAAUUGACGGGGCCGCACAAGCGGUGGAGCAUGUGGUUUAAUUCGACGCAACGCGAAGAACCUUACCAGGGCUUGACAUCCCCUGACCGCGUAUGAAAGUACGUUUUCACCCUCGGGUGACAGGGAGACAGGUGGUGCAUGGUUGUCGUCAGCUCGUGUCGUGAGAUGUUGGGUUAAGUCCCGCAACGAGCGCAACCCCUGCGUUUAGUUGCUAACAGGUGAAGCUGAGCACUCUAGACGAACUGCCGUUGACAAAACGGAGGAAGGUGGGAUGACGUCAAAUCAUCAUGCCCCUUAUGUUCUGGGCUACACACGUGCUACAAUGGCCGGUACAGACGGAGGCGAAGCCGCGAGGCGGAGCAAAUCCGAAAAAGCCGGUCUCAGUUCGGAUUGCAGGCUGCAAUUCGCCUGCAUGAAGUCGGAAUCGCUAGUAAUCGCAGGUCAGCAUACUCGCGGUCGAAUACGUUCCGGGCCUU
rnacentral:rRNA from 1 species